UGUGUUAAGAAUUUAUCAAAUAAAAGUUAAUGUGUAAUACAACAUUUAUGGAAGACAAAUUUUUAUAAAAUAGAUAUAGAUAAAAGCUAAAUCAAUCUAUUGAGUAAUAUUCAAACAACAUAAGGCAUCUAAUCUGUAACAUAUUGAUUCUAUAUCAAAUACAAAACAAUGCUUUGACUUAAAUUUAUAUUGCUGAUUUUGAAUGCCUUGAAGUCGAAGAAUGGAGACACAUGCUCUCCAAUGGAACCUUGAGAAAGUAGAAUUAGCAAUAAACAAUUAGAUACACAUAAAAAAUAAAAUCAGCCCCAUAAUCUACAACCAAUUGAUUAAAUUUUCAUGCUUUUUUUUUUGACAAAAAACUUUCAUGCUUUUAAACCAUAGAAAAUACAUUUUUUUUUUGAAUUUUUUUAUGGGGGAAGAGACAUAUGAAAAUAAUGAAAAAAAAUUGUUUAUUUCUAGGGAAAAAAUUAUGGCAUGAUCAAUUUUGAUUGGCCUAUGAAAACUAAAUGUGUCAUGAUUCAUUUUGAUUGACUAAUAAAAAAGAAAUGAGUCAUGAUUCAAUUUGAUUGUAUGUUAAGAAAACAUUAAAUUAUAUGAGAAAUGUGAAGAUGCCACAUGUACUCUUGAUAUGAAGGAAGGUAAAUGUUUAUAACAAAUAUAUAUAUAUAUAUAUAUAUAUAUAUAUAUAUAUAUAUAUGAUUUGCUAGAACAUACCCACUAGUUUUCAUGUGGGAGUGUUUUAGCAAGCUACACCUUAAUGUGUAUUUAACUACUUUUUAGUUAUAACUUGCUAAAACACACAUUCUAAAAAAUAAGUGGGUGU
rnacentral:lncRNA from 1 species